rnacentral:lncRNA from 1 species
GUUCCAAACACGCCCUCAUCUCUCUCAACCCUUUCAUCUCUCUCAUCUCUCUCGUUCUUCAAACCCUAGCAGUCCAAGUUCCACCAUUGUUACAGAGCAAAGGAACUCCAUUUUUUCCUCCCAAAAAAUCCGUCUCCACAACCUUCCUUCAUCCCUGACUUUUAGUCUCUCACCAUAACCCCCAAAUCGUCACUAAGCGGAGCCAAGUCUGGACUUGAAAAGGGAAGAAGACGAAAAGAUUUUUCUAGUUUGGGGCUGAAGAUUAAAAUCGAAACUGGUCUCGUUCGUCCGUUCUUGACAAGAACGCAUGAUUGAGACUAAUUUCAGCUCAAAGUCGAUGAGUUCGAGUUCCUUCAAGUUUGGUCCAUGUUCAGCUGUUGAAUAGGUACCAUCAUUUUCUCCUUUUCCCCGUUCUUUUGAUUCUUCACUCCGUCGUCAUAUCCCUCCAUGCGUUUUUUUCUUUUCUUGGUCAGUACUUGUUUAUUGAAACAAUUUCUGGUGGUGAUUAAAGUAAGAGCAUGCUAGCUACAUUUAUUUAAUCCUCGUGCUCAGUGUUAGUAGUUCUUGUUUUCUUUCAAUUAUUUCUGCUUUCAAUUCAAAACUGCUUGGUUCAUAGUCAAUCAGGAGUUACUGAAUGGGUUUGGGUUUUGGGUAAAUUGAAAGCCUAAAGUGAAAGAAGAUCAGUCCGGCUUGGGGCUAAACUCUGGGUCAACUUGGCCCGCCUGGUUUCAUACAGUAAUUACAGGGUACUAGGAGGGUAGUUUAGGUAUUUGGGGUUAGGGAAUUUUGCUAUAACAGAAAUAGAAGCUUCUAGGGUGGGGUUUUAAUUUGAAUUUCAGGAUCUGGGUAGUAUGAACCUGGUGAACAAGUCAAGAUUCUAGAGACUUUUAAGUAAAAUGCAUAAAUUAAAAGGGAUCUAAGAGUGUAAAUUAAAAUUUGAGAGGUGCCCUACUUACUUGCCUAUAAAAGCAUUCUUACUUGCCUUAGAAGGCAGUGGAUGAAGAACUGAAAAAUAGAGAAAAAUAGAGACGGCUACAGUGUCUGGGUAGAUUCUGUGUUCUAGCUACUGUUUCAUUGAUUUUGAGUUGAUUUCACUGAAAGUUGGCUGAAUCUGGGUUGUUCUACCGCUGUUUCUGAGCUUACUGAUCCUUAUUUCCUCUUUGUUACUUCUUUUUCCAGGUAUUCCUGAUUCUCUAAGAGAUGAAAUGCAAAAAUGAAAGUUGUAAUUGCCAGAAGUUUUUCAUGAAUAAAUGACUGUUUCUCUUUAAAUCUUUAAUGUCAAUUAUUUGUUUAAGAUUUCCUCGAAUCAUAUAGAGUAGAGUAAUGAUAUUCAGCCUAGUUUGUUCAUCUUAGUAUAGUAGUAGUAUUUUGGGGAUUCAUGCUGCCCUUUUGUUUAGUCAGAGAUUUGUGGACUGUUCGUUGGUUUGAACAUGUGAGGGACUGUAUAUAUGGACUGUUUGUUUAAGACAUUUUGGUUAUGCAUAUGUUCAGUUAUAUGAUUAAGUUUGUUUUUAUCUCUAGUUUGUCAUCUUCAUUCAAAGCGUUAGGAUUCAUUCAAUUAAAAGAUAAUGUCUCAUACAUUUGCAUGAAAAUUAGGUUUGUUUUGUCAAUGGAUGUAAAGUUUUUGCUAUAGGAGCAGAAAUGGUAUGGUUCAUUGAAGCACAAGUCCAAAAAUCGAUUAAAUGUGUUUUCAUUAUAUCACUUUAUAUGAUUACGCCUACUGCUUCAUGCGGGUUUAAAUAACAUUGAAGUCUC